rnacentral:rRNA from 1 species
GAUGAACGCUGGCGGCGUGCCUAAUACAUGCAAGUCGAGCGAACAGACGAGGAGCUUGCUCCUCUGACGUUAGCGGCGGACGGGUGAGUAACACGUGGAUAACCUACCUAUAAGACUGGGAUAACUUCGGGAAACCGGAGCUAAUACCGGAUAAUAUAUUGAACCGCAUGGUUCAAUAGUGAAAGACGGUUUUGCUUUCACUUAUAGAUGGAUCCGCGCCGCAUUAGCUAGUUGGUAAGGUAACGGCUUACCAAGGCAACGAUGCGUAGCCGACCUGAGAGGGUGAUCGGCCACACUGGAACUGAGACACGGUCCAGACUCCUACGGGAGGCAGCAGUAGGGAAUCUUCCGCAAUGGGCGAAAGCCUGACGGAGCAACGCCGCGUGAGUGAUGAAGGUCUUCGGAUCGUAAAACUCUGUUAUUAGGGAAGAACAAAUGUGUAAGUAACUACGCACGUCUUGACGGUACCUAAUCAGAAAGCCACGGCUAACUACGUG